UACAGAGGGUGCAAGCGUUAUUCGGAAUUACUGGGCGUAAAGAGCGCGUAGGCGGUUUGGUAAGUCUGAUGUGAAAGCCCUGGACUCAAUCCAGGAAGUGCAUCGGAUACUGUCAGACUCGAGUACAGGAUGGGAAAGCGGAAUUCCAGGUGUAGAGGUGAAAUUCGUAGAUAUCUGGAGGAACAACAGUGGCGAAGGCGGCUUUCUGGACUGUUACUGACGCUGAGGCGCGAAAGCGUGGGGAGCAAACAGG
rnacentral:rRNA from 1 species